GAUGAACGCUGGCGGCGUGCCUAAUACAUGCAAGUCGAGCGAACGGACGAGAAGCUUGCUUUUCUGAUGUUAGCGGCGGACGGGUGAGUAACACGUGGAUAACCUACCUAUAAGACUGGGAUAACUUCGGGAAACCGGAGCUAAUACCGGAUAAUAUUUUGAACCGCAUGGUUCAAAAGUGAAAGACGGUCUUGCUGUCACUUAUAGAUGGAUCCGCGCUGCAUUAGCUAGUUGGUAAGGUAACGGCUUACCAAGGCAACGAUGCAUAGCCGACCUGAGAGGGUGAUCGGCCACACUGGAACUGAGACACGGUCCAGACUCCUACGGGAGGCAGCAGUAGGGAAUCUGCCGCAAAGGGCGAAAGCCUGACGGAGCAACGCCGCGUGAGUGAUGAAGGUCUUCGGAUCGUAAAACUCUGUUAUUAGGGAAGAACAUAUGUGUAAGUAACUGUGCACAUCUUGACGGUACCUAAUCAGAAAGCCACGGCUAACUACGUG
rnacentral:rRNA from 1 species